AUGAACCUGUACAGGAGCUUUGGAAACCUCAUGGAGGCCUGGGUAACUGAGGAAGGCCAAUGCUCCUACUCGGAGCUACUGGGAGAUAAUGGCGAGGCCGCUUCAUCGCCUCCCACAAACCCGCGCUCCGAAUCGGUGGACUCAGGGGUGGAGAUGGCGAGCACCACCUCCAGCUCCGUCUCCAUGGACAACGCUGAGCUGGACGGAUUCACGCCAGAAAGAGCUUCGGAGCCUUCUCGCCUCUCCUGCCCUUCGCCGCCCAACCCGUUCUCGCCAUGCCUCCCCCCCGGCGGCGCCCGGGACCACUCGGCCCUCUUGCACCAGAGGGUGGAGGCAGCGCUCGAGAGGAGUCAUUCUAAACACCUCAACAACAAACCGGAGUGUCUGACAGCGGCGGAGACACACGGGAGGCAUUCCCGGGCGCAUCUACGGCACCACGCAGAGUCAAUGAGGGGUCAAAGGUCAGACCGACCUGACCUGAGGAGGAUGUUUAACCCUUCAGAGCCCAUGAGGCUAACUCGCCACAGAUGGUCGUCUGUCACCUCUGACACGCUGACCUUCCAGAGAAAAUUAGAGGACCUGAGUGAGGAGGGGGCCAACGGCCUGAGUCCUGGACUCUGUUACCUGGAGCACGUUUGCCAGAUGUUGGAAGAGUUUGCCGACCAACAGAGGCACAAGCGGGCCUUGCAGCGGGGGAGGAGUGGCCUGCAGGAGCACCAGGAAGUGGAGGUGAGCCAGGAGGAGGUGAGCCAGGAGGAGGCCACCGUGAAGGCGUCGCUCCAGGGCUCCGACUCCUGCCAGACUGACUCCGGAGCUGCCGACUCUACGGGUCAAAGGCUGGAAGACCAAAGCCAAGAGAGGAGUCCCGUUGAGAGGAGGCUUCAGAGACCCCCCCACAGACACUUCAGGCAGAGAUCGGCGUCAGACGCAAACGUCGCCACGUUGCACCUGAGGAUGAAGGAUGCAGGCUGCAGGGGGCAGCAUCUGAGUACGGAUGACCUGCUGAUGGAGACGGAUAAAGACCUGGAAAAGCAGGGAGCUGAUGUUGAGAAGAGGGACACUCUCAGCCGGAGCUGGAACUCCAAAAUCAGGUCUUUGACCAGAAAUCUUUCAGUCCUGAGGGACGUGAAGAGGCAGCAGAUGCAGCCGGCGGAGGGGAAACAGGGGCUGCGGCUGAGCCAGCUGUUCAGGAGGAAAACCAAGCCUGCGUGA
rnacentral:lncRNA from 1 species